UGUGAGAUGGCUGAGUUUUAGGUGUUGGAUUGUAAACCCAAUUACGGGGGUUAGACCUCCUCUUACAA
rnacentral:tRNA from 1 species